CAAAACGGUGAAUAUCCCCAAAAGUCAGAAAACGCGCGGAUCCUCCCCUGGGUCGGGUCACCGUGCGGGUCAGGGCCAAAACGGCGUCGUUUUGGCUCCUGACCCUUAAGGGCAAAACGGCGCCGUUUCAUUAAAGCAAUUUUUUUAAAAAAAAAACUUCAAUCUUUCAGUGUAAAAAAAAAAACUGCAGAGAGGAAAAAACAUUCUCUCAAUCCUUCCCCUUUCCGGCCAAAUGGGCCACCGUCGGCCCCGCCGUGGGCGGUGGUCGGUGGUCGGAAGCCCAAACGUCGGGCUUUUAAGCCCUGCUUCAAGGACCACUGAAGACCAAGUCUUCAUAGCCUCGGGGUCACGAGAGAAAAAAAAAAUCGUCGCCCUCCUUGCCCGAUUUCGGUGACCCAAAGUAGGACUCCGGCGACGAUGCUCGCGGGGCGAUUCCGGUAUAGGGCGGUGGAGGAGACGUGACACGGACGGGGUAGGUGCGCCAUUUGCGCUGACGGGGCAGAAGUCAGAAGACCCUAGCAUGCGGCACCGAGGGAGGGGCUAGGGUUCUGAAACCCUAGUCUCUGUUGGGUUUGGGCCUAUUGUUUUUGUUUUGCUGGUAUAAGGCCCGGGCAAAUUUGGGCUGUACAGUAAAUAUAAAUACACAAUUGAUGAAAGUAAUAAAAUACGUAUAAUAAAAUUAAAAUAUAUAAAUAAAUCAAAAUAA